rnacentral:rRNA from 1 species
ACACGUGCUACAAUGGGUGGUACAAAGAGCAGCCAGCUCGCGAGAGUGAGCAAAUCUCAAAAAGCCAUCCUCAGGUUCGGAUUGGAAGUCUGCAACUCGACUUCAUGAAGUUGGAAUCGCCAGUAAUCGCGGAUCAGCAUGCCGCGGUGAAUACGUCCCCGGGCCUU